rnacentral:lncRNA from 1 species
CAAAAAGUGGUGUCUUAACCUUUCCUAGACCCUUACCAUUUGAUGACAUUGUGAACCAACGGCAAAAAGGAGUAAUUCUCCUCCUUCGCGCCAGCGGGGGACUGAGGCCGCGGAGCCGCCGGCGGCGGGAGCGCAGCGACCGGCAGAGGCUGAGGCGGUGGUGGCGGCUUGGACUCCGGCAGCAGCUCGGGCGGUGGCUGUAGCGUAUCUUCGGCCUGUCUCCCACCCGCCACCCCAGAGGAAGCCAUAGCACCAGGAGUCCAGCAGCUGCCGAGGGGCGCUGGGUGCUUGCGUCACAACUGCGCGCCCGGGGAGGCCGGGCGGGAAAAAACUCUGAGUCUGCGCCCUGGGCGUAGGCGGGCGGGCGUUGCUAGGCGACGGGUGUCGGGAAAGCUAAAUUGAGUAGUCAGGAUUAGGGAAUCUACUCCAGUCAUCUUUCUAGUUCACAUGACAGAGAGAGGUCAAAACACCAACGAGGACCCCCGGGACUGGCAGGAAGAACGGAUGACGCUGGUGAGCACCGUGUGAAACUGAGGCUCUGCGGCAGCGAGCAUCCAGAUGACAAGGACUUACACGUCUUUGUGUCAUGCUAGCCUCCAGGAGGGCCCCAGACUGGCGACAGCAAAACAGGCCAUACAAACUAGUUCCACACGGCUGCCAAGGGGAAAACUAAUCGUUCUUCAAGCAUUUGGGGAAGGGCCAUGAUUCCUGAGGAAGAAGGGAGAAGAGAAUGGUCUAAGAUGGAACCAGGUGUGCCAGAAAAGACUUGAAGACACCUCUGGAGACAUCUGGGAGAAUGCAUGGUAAAACGGCAGUGUUAGCAAACAGUAGCUAUCACUACUACUGUGGAAUGAAAGUGACGAGAAACCAUUAAAACCCUCAUUUAAUCCACCGAGAAACUCUGGAAGGUAUAUCUUAGUUUUCCAUUUUAUAGAAAAAGAAACAAAAG